CUCUAGGAUAUGAUUUUAUACUUAUUGGGCAGUUAUAUUAUCAUUCAUGUUUAUGUGUCCAUAAAUUAUCCAAGAGAUUAACAAGAUGAUGACAUAUAUUCUCAAAGAGUUAAAAAUUUGAAACAUGUAUUAUUGAUGGUUAAUUCCUAAAUUACUCCUGAUCAUAGGAUCAUCAUGGGGAUGGUGAUUGAUCUGGAUAGAUCAGUGCAU
rnacentral:lncRNA from 1 species